rnacentral:rRNA from 1 species
CAAACCCUCGCCUUUCCUAGAGGGGGAUAACAUUUGGAAACAAAUGCUAAUACCGCAUAAGAUUACAGUACCGCAUGAUACAGUGAUCAAAGGAGCAAUCCGCUGAAAGAUGGGCUCGCGUCCGAUUAGAUAGUUGGUGAGGUAACGGCUCACCAAGUCGACGAUCGGUAGCCGGACUGAGAGGUUGAACGGCCACAUUGGGACUGAGACACGGCCCAG